AAUGAACGCUGGCGGCAGGCCUAACACAUGCAAGUCGAGCGGAGCGGCGGACGGGUGAGUAAUGCAUAGGAAUCUGCCUGGUAGUGGGGGAUAACGUCAGGCAACGGGCGCUAAUACCGCAUCCUAUCAGAGGAGGCUGGGUCGGAGUAGCUAGUUGGUGGGGUAAAGGCCUACCAAGGCGACGACCCGUAACUGGUCUGAGAGGCUGAUCAGUCACACGGGAACAGAGAGACGGUCCUGAGGCCUACGGGAUGAAGCGGGGGAGAAGAGUGGGCUAUGGGCGAAAGCAUGAUCGAGCCAUGCCGCGUGUGUGAAGAAGGUCUUCGGAUUGUAAGGCUCUUUAAGUUGGGAGGCGUUACGAACAGAAUAAGCGCCGGCUAACUACGUGCCAGCAGCCGCGGUAAUAC
rnacentral:rRNA from 1 species